rnacentral:rRNA from 1 species
UACGUAGGGGGCAAGCGUUGUCCGGAUUUAUUGGGCGUAAAGAGCUCGUAGGUGGUUCGGUAAGUCGGAUGUGAAAUCUCCAGGCUCAACCUGGAGGGGUCAUUCGAUACUGUCGUGACUCGAGUCCGGUAGGGGAGUGUGGAAUUCCCGGUGUAGUGGUGAAAUGCGUAGAUAUCGGGAGGAACACCAGUGGCGAAGGCGACUUCCUGGCCUGUUCUUGACGCUGAGGCGCGAAAGCUAGGGUAGCAAACGGG